rnacentral:misc_RNA from 1 species
GGACACCUGUACUCGUGUCCAGCUACACGUUCGGAGUGUUUCGUGUGUGGAUUACUUGGCCAUUUUGCUAAAAUGUGCUUCUACGCAACCAUUCCUUGCCAUUCUCAUCCGCGGAAAACUUACCCGGUGGCGACCAACGACAAAGGUUCGUUCAAAAAUGGUUCGGCCAAGGAUGGAAGGACCUGCAAUCGGACAGUAUCGUCUGUAGGAUCGACUGAUGCCCAAGCAGGAUCAAAACUCGACCCUACUGUAGGAAUUUCUGAGAAUAAAUCUCAAGAAGUUUGUGUUGCAAUUGCUGAUAUUUCGCAAUGUAGAAUGCACCUUGCACAAACCAAGACCUUAAGCAAACGACGCCGGGACGCGAAAAGAAUUAAAGAUUAUUACAACCGACUGGAACUUGUGAAACAGCUGCCGUUCCAGCACUUGAGUCCAAAAGACAUUCAAAAAUUAUUUAAGCCUGUUGUAAUUCAAGACCACAUGACAACGUUGAGAAAUCAAAAUAAAAUGCUAAAUAAUGUCGUUAGCAAUCUAAACACCAACUGCUACGAUUUAGAACAGAGGCUUAAAGACCUAAAGCAAAGACAGACCAUCGCUAACCAGAAGAUUGCAGACUUAAACAACAUCAUCACCUCUCAAGAACGCGUCAUUGCGGCAUUAAGGAACACCUCGAGUUCAAAAAACCGUGUAAACCGAAUUCACAACACUCCCGCGCCCAGACUAAGGACACCGGAAAAUAGCCAACGACAAUUUUACCAGUCCGUCUACUUCAGUCAAAGGCCGCGCGCACCCAGCAAUCCUCAUCGGUGAGCUUUGAGACGAGGACGUCUCAUUUUCCGGAGCGAGAGGGAAUUAUCAUGGAGUGAAAUUUCAAUGAACUAUAAUUUAAGACAUUUUGUAUAAAGCUUCAAAUUCACAUUUCUUUAUUUGUUAUCAAAUUGCUAUUAUCUUUAUCGUAUCUUGUCUUUCAAAAAAUUAAUCCCAAAACAUUUGUUUACGUAAGGCGUAAUUGCUUAAUCGUUUUAAAUUAACUCUUAAAUUUGUAGACUUGAUAUAAUUGAUUCACUCAAUUUGAAGUUUUACUCCGUGUCAUCUGUCACUCAUGCUUAUAGUGCUAAUUACUAUUGUUUACUAUUCUUAUUUAUAUCAUUUGUUCAUUAUUAUGAUCAGUCAAGAAUUAGGCUUCGGAUUGUUCGGGUGUAGUUUUUGGAUUCCCAGAAAUCACCCAUACCGACCUAAAGUUCAAAUAAAGUGCUUUUUAACAUC